CUUAGAAGUCCAGGAAUUGAAGCUGUUUUAAACUGCAAUCAUUGUGGUGCUUCCAAAGUGCACAUCAAAGGCAAAGAAUGGUAAUUGCUAUUACAUCACCCUGUGAUUCUGAAGUGCAAUAAGAUAAACAUGGUCCUGAGAAUGCCUAUCUUUUACAAGGUAAAAAGCAAUCUUACACAUUAUUUAACAAUGUAUAAACAUGGUCCUGAGAAUGCCUAAAAAGCAAUCUUACACAUUAUUUAACAAUGUAAUAUUGUUAAUCAAACACUAUUUUAAUAUUUACUUUAGCUUUUACUCAGUAAAACCUUAUCUGGGAUGAACAUUCACAUGUCAUGUUGUUUUACUUGCAUUCAGCUAAGUGGCUGCCAUUGGAACUUCAGAUCCCAGAAAAUUAUUUUUGUCCGAUUGUCACUGUCCUUUUCAAGGCAAAAGGUUUCCUGGCCCUGGAAAGAAUGCAGAGGCCAUUCUCUUCCACAGAACAACACUCAGCAGCAAAGCAACAUAACCUGGCAGAUACACUUACCAGAAAAAUCCAACUCCUGCUCUACAUUAUUGACGAUUGAGAGAGAGAUGGGGACUACUGGCUGGUGAUCAGAAUCCGAAUUUACUUCCACUCAGAUUGCAUGGGAUGUUUGGUCUGAACCAUAAGGACAUACAGAUAAAACUUGGCUGGAGCAAUCAGUGGAGAAGGCAGGCAACAAAGCCUGUGACCUGUGCUGCAACAGCCCAGCAAACCAGGAAUGGUGUCAGAACGUGCCCGGCGCUCAAUAUGAUCUUGCCUGGUCUAUGCAAACACCUAAGGAUCGUUGUGUAACGUAGAAGCUGC
rnacentral:lncRNA from 12 species